CGGGUCUAUGGUUAUUUCCGUUUCAUGCCAUCAUAACAAGAUCAUACCAAAAUGCAAGAACGGCUCCGUGACCAUAGUGACCGCAGACUACCAUCUUUUGGUCGCCACGCUCUUCAAACUCGGGACGGAGAUUUCAAAUUUGUCUUCCGCUGCAUGCUAUCCCAACAGACUGGAUAUAUUUGACGGUGAUUCCUCGGACAUUUCGAAGAUGUUAUCAGACAAAGGGGGAUCUGCGGCUGCAAACUUCCCGCCAAAACUGUUUUCAUGUCGUUCGGUAACGCCAUCACGGUUCGUCUGCAGACGACACGCGACCGGGCUACACACGGAGAGCUGGAACUGGUCUUGACGUCUGUGAAAAAUGAGAAAAAAGUCAACCUUAGCUGCAGCUUUCAGAAGCGCCUCAGCGAAGCCACGUCCCAUUCCCGAGGCACCGCCCGUCACCAACGCCACCUUGCCCACCAGGUGCAUUCUGCGGUCCACCUGAAGAUCAGACGACGUGAUCCCGCACACGACGUUCGUGUCUCAGACCCAGUAUUAAGGCGCUCUGAGACAGUUUUAACCUGGUUCUGCAAGCAGACGACAGCACGAA